AUUGAACGCUGGCGGCAUGCCUAACACAUGCAAGUCGAACGAGUGGCGGACGGGUGAGUAAUGUCUGGAAAACUGCCUGAUGGAGGGGGAUAACUACUGGAAACGGUAGCUAAUACCGCAUACCAUCAGAUGUGCCCAGAUGGGAUUAGCUAGUUGGUGGGGUAACGGGUCACAAAGGCGACGCUCCCUCGCUGGUCGGAGAGGAGUACCAGCAACACUGGAACUGAGACACGGUCCAGACUCAUACGGGAGGCAGCAGUGGGGAAUAUUGCGCAAUGGGCGCAAGCCUGAUGCAGCCAUGCCGCGUGUAUGAAGAAGGUCUUCGGGUUGUAAAGUACUUUCAGCGGGGAGGCGUUACCCACAGAAGAAGCACCGGCUAACUCCGUGCCAGCCGCCGCGGUAAUAC
rnacentral:rRNA from 1 species